rnacentral:rRNA from 1 species
UACGUAGGGUGCAAGCGUUGUCCGGAAUUAUUGGGCGUAAAGAGCUCGUAGGCGGUCUGUCGCGUCUGCUGUGAAAUCCCGGGGCUCAACCCCGGACUUGCAGUGGGUACGGGCAGACUGGAGUGUGGUAGGGGAGACUGGAAUUCCUGGUGUAGCGGUGGAAUGCGCAGAUAUCAGGAGGAACACCGAUGGCGAAGGCAGGUCUCUGGGCCACUACUGACGCUGAGAAGCGAAAGCAUGGGGAGCGAACAGG